rnacentral:misc_RNA from 1 species
GUCGCUGAAAACGAACGACCUCACCUCAAGUCGUUCAUUCAAAUAAAAAGACUAUAUCACCCUGACGUGGUUCAUACGCAACGUACCAUUUGAUGAAGGUGUAAGCACACACGCCUCUUCAGAUCUAAUAGAACGGUUCGCCGAGUUCAGUCAGCGAGUUCGCAAAGCACCGUACAGGCACAAAACCUCUGUUGACCUUCGCGAGGUCAACUUUCAUCCGCAUAAUAUUCACUCAG